UGGUCAAACACCAAUUAUAAACAGUAAGCAGAAGAAGACAGUAGACGAGACAGAAAAGCACGUUUUUAUUCGACGGAAUUACUGCAGCUACAUAAGCACAACAGCGCAUCAAAUUCACCUGGGCUGGAGACAGAAGCUGGCUACACUGUCCUAGUCUGUCUCUCCACUUGUGCAGAAGAGGCGGGCGAGCCUUCAUCACUGAACCUCCGGCUGAGCUCUGGCUGCAAUCUCAAUUAGUAUUCAUCCAUGGAGACCAAUCACCCAAGGCUAAUCUCUCCUCUCUGUAUAAGCAUUUUUCUUAAUUAACUUAAUAUUGGACCAUUGACAAGCAAGACAAUAAACAUUGUUUAAUAAUUUUUGCUCUGUUAUCUUUAGUUAUGUGAUGGAUUGUCAGACUGCUUUUUUUUUUUUCAUACAAUCACGUCUUGUCGCAACACAGUCAGGGCAGGCAUGGUUCUAGUGGCUCAACUCCAGGCAUGGAAAGUAGAUGACAAAUACUCACAUUACUGCAGUUGAGAAUAUUUUUUUGAGUACUUGUUUAGAUUUUUAAACAUUUGUAAUUGAUACUAAUUCUAGUUUAAAAUUUUUCUUGGUUAUAUUCAUACAAAUCAUAUGUUAGAGUACUGUACAAGUCUCAACCCACAGCUGUCUGUGCUUCUUUCUAUACCCAUAAAAGCACAGCAUCACCUGGUCUGAUUGUCCAAUGCAGACAUUAUAAGGACUAAAUUCAGUUUUACUUUGAGCAAGUUUUGUAUUAAAGCAUGAUCUAAAGCUAUUAAAUAGUAAUUUAUAGGCUUACUGAGUAGUAUGACGCACUUUUUACUAGUACAAUUCUGGCAGCUCUUUCCACCACUGCUCAAAUUUCAUGGGUCUUCAAGUCUCAAAUGCAAUACAAGAUGUCACAAUAGGCAGCCCUGAAAACAUUUAAUUCUGGCCGCUUGACUUAAAAACAGACCAUCCUUUAGAUCAGGGAUGUCACAUAUUUUCACCAAGGGCCACAUCAGCAAAAUGGCUGCUCUCAAAGGGCCAGAUGUAAAAUAACUACUUUUUUAACUGGUUAAGUGUUUCUGUAUUAAGUUAAAAAUAUUUAUGCAUUUGCCUAGAUGUAAAAAUCUGGCUGUGUAACUGUAUCUCCUGAUAAAAGUACAUUGUAAGAUCAUCAGACCUUUUAAUUUACUCUUUCGAGGGCCACAUUUGGCCUGCAGGCCUUGAGUUUGACACAUGUGCUUUAGAUGCAUCACAUAUUGAUCAAUAUUCAUCAUCAAUAUUGAUCUUAGCAUCACCACUUCAAGCUGCAUUACCCAGCUGUUCUCCUCAAAUGAUGAAAGUGCUGUCUUCAUUGAGUUAUGAAUUCUAUGAUUCUUUGGGAUCAGAGUAGUUUGGCUAUGCAAAGGUGGUCCACCCUGCUUGACUUUCCCAUCUGAAAGCUGUUCUACAGCUGUACUAGUGGCCAAAAAUACUAGCGAUGAGUUUGUGAGAGUUAUAAACAAGCUAGAUUUAAAUACAUUUCAUUUUUGGAAAUUUCAUUUCAUUUCAUAGUUGGAAAUUAGAUACCCUGGCCAUUAAGUUUAAAUUUACAUUCUUUCUCUGUAAUUAAUGAAAAAGAGAAAAUGAUACAGAAGUAAGACAGUUUCAAUAAUUUAUUUUACAAACUGCUUAAGAUGAGGUCAACAGUUUAAUUUAUGUACUGACUAAAAUGUAACAUCUGAAUUGCUUUUGUGGGAAUGGUGA